CAUUGGGAUUGGGAAAAAUAAUUAAGAGAAAAAUAACACACCGUCGCUCGAGAGUGAAUUUUCGUGUUAGGUGAUUUUUUUUCGUGCCCUAUAUAUUCGUAAGUACAUGAAGUACCAACUAUAAUAGUAAACGUGAAGGAGUGAUGAUUCUAAUUCGUAUAUAAUGAAUGAACGUUAUACUAUGAAAUUUAUGAUUUUUUUUUCUUCUUCUCGUAUUAUCAUUGUCUUUUUGUAACGUCACGGGCAUCAUUCAAAAUUAUAAAAGAUGUAUGAAAAAAAAAAACUGCGUACUACACAUCGGAACCGGAUUUCUUUUCAGGCCUACUCGGACGUGGAAGUACAUAUAUAAGAAGGUGUGAAAUACAAAAUAUUAUUUUAUUCGUGUUACAAAGGUGAACGCAGUUUGGCGAAUUAUUUUUAAGAGCAAUGAAUGCAUUGCUUUUAUUUAUAAUUUCCUCCAUGAUACUAAAAUGUAGCUCGAGUUCACCAAUAGCUCAAGUGGCGCAAGCCAGAUACAAUCAAAAUAUCACACCAAACAGUUACUACCAUCGAGCUCUGGUCGAUGCCGAUAUUGAUCCUCUGAUCGCAGCUUUAAUCGUCGAAUCAAUGCAUCCCCAUCCUCCCGAUGCCAACCGAAGACAAAACAGCUACAGGCCACAAACUCCUCCAUUCAGGAAUAGAAUUAUGACCAUAAGUAAGAUAAGUAAAAUUUAAGAGAGACAAAUCUAAAAUUUAAUGUAUUAUUUUCUAAGUUAAUAAAAACCAGUAAAUACA